AGCGUGCCCGGGAAUUGCUGUAUGGUGCUGAUACCCAGAAUUCUGAAUGACUGACAUCAUUACUGCCCUACCUGUGCCCCUGUUUUCUUUGUCUGUAGAACACUGGCCUUCAUGUGACAGUGCUGUGGUAGGGCUGUAAGCUUUGUCAUUCCAAGGUGGCCUUCACCUAUCCACAACUGGGUGAAUGUGUUCCUUUUUCAUGCAGUACACAAAGUGGGCAGGGAUGGAACUUCCUGCUUCAAGCCCUUUUUGUAGUACUAUUAUAAAUAAACUUAUUCUUUAAUUCUGAGUAUGAACUUGAAGUAUUCUUUACUUCUGUUAAAAGCCAAAGUCUAUCAAUUGAAUUGGAAGUAGAAAUAGUUCCCAAAAUAAUUUUUCAAAACAGCCUGGCCUUCUGAUGGGUGGUGAUCACAGCAUAGUCUCUCUUUAUCGUGUCUGAUCCUAAUUUUCUAAUUCUGAAGCAGUGGGUGGAGGUUUGUUUUGGUAUUGGACAUCUGUGUAUUUAGCUGGUAUUAGCUGAUAACUGUAAAAGGUUUUUUGGCUUUCAUUUUGGUUUUUUUUUUUUUUUUAUUUCUUUCCCCCAUGAAUAAUUAUUUGAAUUUUUGGAACAUUUCAAAUGUGGUAGGAUGGGAAAUGUAUUUGUUCGGUUUUGAUUUCUAAAAAAGCUUUAAGAGUAGCAUGUUGCAAUUCAAGGCACCCUCUCUUCAAACCCCAGCUGUGAGAUUGAGUGAAAGAAAGGUAGUGUUGAUUCAUUGUGACUUUUUUGAAGAAACUUGUUAUUCCAUUGCUGAGAAACACCUGCCCCAUCCUUAGGGUCAGGAGGGGCAGCCUUGGUGUUAGCUGGAGUGGAGGAUGAGCAGCCCAGCCUGUGCAGGUUAGGGUGGUGUUAGCUGGGGUGGAAGAUGAGCAGCCCAGCCUGUGCAGGUUAGGGUGGUGUUAGCUGGGGUGGAAGAUGAGAGUAGCCCAGCCUGUGCAGGUUAGGGUGGUGUUAGCUGGGGUGGAGGAUGAGCAGCCCAGCCUGUGCAGGUUAGGGUGGUGUUAGCUGGGGUGGAAGAUGAGAGUAGCCCAGCCUGUGCAGGUUAGGGUGGUGUUUGCUGGGGUGGAAGAUGAGCAGCCCAGCCUGUGCAGGUUAGAGUGGUGUUAGCUGGGGUGGAAGAUGAGCAGCCCAGCCUGUGCAGGUUAGGGUGGUGUUAGCUGGGGUGGAGGAUGAGCAGCCCAGCCUGUGCAGGUUAGGGUGGUGUUUGCUGG